rnacentral:misc_RNA from 1 species
AACAAGUGAGAUAGUGAAUUUGUAGAAGAAUGGUUGUAUUUCAAGCCAGAAGGCUUCUUUUGCAGUUUAACAAAAGCAUUGAAAACCAAAUGCAAUAAUAGUGUAAAAACUAUAACUCUUGGUCUUUCAGCAAUUUACAACUUUAAAUUUGAUUGGCUUUUUUAUUAUCAAUGCUGCAGUGAUCUUAAUGAUUCUGCUUAAAGGGGGG